CCUACGGGAGGCAGCAGUGGGGAAUAUUGCACAAUGGGCGCAAGCCUGAUGCAGCCAUGCCGCGUGUAUGAAGAAGGCCUUCGGGUUGUAAAGUACUUUCAGCGAGGAGGCGUUACUCGCAGAAGAAGCACCGGCUAACUCCGUGCCAGCAGCCCGGUAAUACGGAGGGUGCAAGCGUUAAUCGGAAUUACGGGCGUAAAGCGCACGCAGGCGGUCUGUAAGUCGGAUGUGAAAUCCCCGGGCUCAACCUGGGAACUGCAUUCGAAACUGCAGGCUAGAGUCUUGUAGAGGGGGGUAGAAUUCCAGGUGUAGCGGUGAAAUGCGUAGAGAUCUGGAGGAAUACCGGUGGCGAAGGCGGCCCCCUGGACAAAACUGACGCUCAGGUGCGAAAGCGUGGGGAGCAAACAGGAUUAGAUACCCUUGUAGUC
rnacentral:rRNA from 1 species